ensembl:lncRNA
CUGGCAACAGUUAUUUAUUCUGCGGCGCGACGGCCACGCUGCAGUAUUAAAUCAGGAAGUCACCUGUCAAUCAACCGCAGCAAAGAGACGAAACGCAAUGGAAUAAAUAACUGUUGCCAGACAGAGGGGGGCUGCCCUUCUUCUCCUGCGCUGUAGGCGGGCAAGGAGAAGACGAAGGGUUUGGGUGCACCCCAUCAAUGAACGGAGACAAGAACAGGGGGUAUGCCACAAUCUGGUCCAGGAGCUCCGUGCAGAUCCUGAGAGGCACGCCAAUAUUUCAAUUCGCCACUAAGUGUGCAAUGGCAGAACCAUGUGGUGCAGCCUAUAUGAUGACCUAUAAUCUAGUUAUCAUCCCUCUCUGGUAUACUCUUUUGCAUAUAUAUAUAUGUAUACUUUUUUUUUAUCCCUCGGGAUAAAUACAGUGAUGUUAUUG